AAUAGAUACCCGGGUAGUCCACGCCGUAAACGAUGAGUGCUAGGUGUCGGGGGGGUCCACCCCUCGGUGCCGAAGUCAACACAUUAAGCACUCCGCCUGGGGAGUACGGUCGCAAGACUGAAACUCAAAGGAAUUGACGGGGACCCGCACAAGCAGUGGAGUAUGUGGUUUAAUCCGAAGCAACGCGAAGAACCUUACCAGGUCUUGACAUCCCUCUGACCGCUGCAGAGAUGCGGCUUUCCUUCGGGACAGAGGAGACAGGUGGUGCAUGGUUGUCGUCAGCUCGUGUCGUGAGAUGUUGGGUUAAGUCCCGCAACGAGCGCAACCCUUGAAUUUAGUUGCCAGCGAGUAAAGUCGGGCACUCUAGAUUGACUGCCGGUGACAAACCGGAGGAAGGCGGGGAUGACGUCAAAUCAUCAUGCCCCUUAUGACCUGGGCUACACACGUACUACAAUGGCCGGCACAACGGGCAGCGAAGGAGCGAUCCGGAGCGAAUCCUCAAAAGCCGGUCUCAGUUCGGAUUGCAGG
rnacentral:rRNA from 1 species